rnacentral:rRNA from 1 species
AUUGAACGCUGGCGGCAGGCUUAACACAUGCAAGUCGAGCGGAGAUGAGGUGCUUGCACCUUAUCUUAGCGGCGGACGGGUGAGUAAUGCUUAGGAAUCUGCCUAUUAGUGGGGGACAACAUUCCGAAAGGAAUGCUAAUACCGCAUACGUCCUACGGGAGAAAGCAGGGGAUCUUCGGACCUUGCGCUAAUAGAUGAGCCUAAGUCGGAUUAGCUAGUUGGUGGGGUAAAGGCCUACCAAGGCGAUGAUCUGUAGCGGGUCUGAGAGGAUGAUCCGCCACACUGGGACUGGAACACGGCCCAGACUCCUACGGGAGGCAGAAGUGGGGAAUAUUGGACAAGGGGGGAAACCCUGAUCCAGCCAUGCCGCGUGUGUGAAAAAGGCCUUAUGGUUGUAAAGCACUUUAAGCGAGGAGGAGGCUACUGAGACUAAUACUCUUGGAUAGUGGACGUUACUCGCAGAAUAAGCACCGGCUAACUCUGUGCCAGCCGCCGCAGUAAAAC